rnacentral:rRNA from 1 species
UUGAACGCUGGCGGCAGGCCUAACACAUGCAAGUCGAGCGGAUGAAGGGAGCUUGCUCCUGGAUUCAGCGGCGGACGGGUGAGUAAUGCCUAGGAAUCUGCCUGGUAGUGGGGGAUAACGUCCGGAAACGGGCGCUAAUACCGCAUACGUCCUGAGGGAGAAAGUGGGGGAUCUUCGGACCUCACGCUAUCAGAUGAGCCUAGGUCGGAUUAGCUAGUUGGUGGGGUAAAGGCCUACCAAGGCGACGAUCCGUAACUGGUCUGAGAGGAUGAUCAGUCACACUGGAACUGAGACACGGUCCAGACUCCUACGGGAGGCAGCAGUGGGGAAUAUUGGACAAUGGGCGAAAGCCUGAUCCAGCCAUGCCGCGUGUGUGAAGAAGGUCUUCGGAUUGUAAAGCACUUUAAGUUGGGAGGAAGGGCAGUAAGUUAAUACCUUGCUGUUUUGACGUUACCAACAGAAUAAGCACCGGCUAACUUCGUG